rnacentral:rRNA from 1 species
GAUGAACGCUGGCGGCGUGCCUAACACAUGCAAGUCGAGCGAUCUCUUCGGAGAGAGCGGCGGACGGGUGAGUAACGCGUGGGUAACCUGCCCUGUACACACGGAUAACAUACCGAAAGGUAUACUAAUACGGGAUAACAUACGAAAGUCGCAUGGCUUUUGUAUCAAAGCUCCGGCGGUACAGGAUGGACCCGCGUCUGAUUAGCUAGUUGGUAAGGUAAUAGCUUACCAAGGCAACGAUCAGUAGCCGACCUGAGAGGGUGAUCGGCCACACUGGAACUGAGACACGGUCCAGACUCCUACGGGAGGCAGCAGUGGGGAAUAUUGCACAAUGGGCGAAAGCCUGAUGCAGCAACGCCGCGUGAGCGAUGAAGGCCUUCGGGUCGUAAAGCUCUGUCCUCAAGGAAGAUAAUGACGGUACUUGAGGAGGAAGCCCCGGCUAACUACGUGCCAGCCGCCGCCGUAA